UAAAUGUUUAUAAAAGACGAGAAGACCCUAUAGAUCUUUAUUUAUAAAAAAUUUUAAUAAUUUAGGAUUAGUUUAUUUUAAAGUUUUUAAAAAAUUUUAUUGGGGUAAUAUAAAGAUUAAAUUAAUUCUUUUUAUUUUUUACAUUGAUUUAUGAAUAUAUGAUCCAUUAAUAAUGAUUAUAAGAUUAAGUUACCUUAGGGAUAACAGCGUAAUUUUCUUGGAGAGCCCAUAUCGAUAAGAGAGUUUGCGACCUCGAUGUUGGAUUAAAAAUUAUUUUAGGCGUAAAAGUUUAAAAUUUUGGUCUGUUCGACCAUUAAAUUUUUACAUGAUCUGAGUUCAGACCGGCGUAAGCCAGGUCGGUUUCUAUCUUUAUGUUUUUUGAAUAUUUUAGUACGAAAGGACCAAAUAUUUGAUAUAUUUAUAUUUAUUUUUUGAAUAAUAUUAAAAAUUACUUUGGCAGAAGUUAGUGCAAUGAAUUUAGAAUUCAUAAAUGUAAUAAUAUUACAGGUAAUACUUGUAUUUAGGAGAUUUAUUAUUAAUGAUUUUAUCUUUAUUAAUUUUAGUAGUAUGUGUAUUAG
rnacentral:rRNA from 1 species